rnacentral:lncRNA from 1 species
GGCUUUUUUAUGGAGGUUUUGGAGCAGUGGCUUCUUCCUUGCUGAGCGGCCUUUCAGGCUAUGUCGAUAUAGGACUAGUUUUACUGUGGAUAUAGAUACUUCUGUACCUGUUUCCACCAGCAUCUUCACAAGGUCUUUUGCUGUUGUUCUGGGAUUGAUAUGCACUUUUCGCACCAAAAUGAACGUGGUACCUUCAGUCGUUUGGAAAUUGCUCCCAAGGAUGAACCAGAUUGUGGAGGUCUACAACAUUUUUUCGGAGGUCUUGGCUAAUUUCUUUUGAUUUUCCCAUGAUGUCAAGCAAAGAGGCACUGAGUUUGAAGGCAAGAGGGGAGAACGAUGACAUCACAAAUUCCCAUCAAACCAACUCCUUGAAGUGUGCAGUUGUGUCUAAAAAAAGAAAAUGUACUUUACUCUGUUUAUACUUGGGAUGUCGCUUUCCAACAUUAAACGUAAAAACAACGCUGGAGGAUGUCUUUAACACAAAGGCAUUGUUUGUAAUUGAUGUCUUAGUGUUGAAGUGUGCCCAUGGCUAUCCCGUCAAUAAAUAAAAAACAAGGAAAUCA